rnacentral:rRNA from 1 species
UCUCUCUAGCACGUUGAAUACACCAGUUCCCAACGGAUCACUGAAGUUAAGCAACGUUGAGCGUGUUGAUAUCCGGAUGGGUGACCAUCUGGGAAAUCGCGUGUCAGGC